AACGAACGCUGGCGGCAUGCCUAACACAUGCAAGUCGAACGAGACCUUCGGGUCUAGUGGCGCACGGGUGCGUAACGCGUGGGAACCUGCCCUUAGGUUCGGAAUAACUCCCCGAAAGGGGUGCUAAUACCGGAUAAUGUCUUCGGACCAAAGAUUUAUCGCCUUUGGAUGGGCCCGCGUUGGAUUCGCUAGUUGGUAGGGUAAAAGCCUACCAAGGCGACGAUCCAUAGCUGGUCUGAGAGGAUGAUCAGCCACACUGGGACUGAGACACGGCCCAGACUCCUACGGGAGGCAGCAGUGGGGAAUAUUGGACAAUGGGCGAAAGCCUGAUCCAGCAAUGCCGCGUGAGUGAUGAAGGCCGUAGGGUUGUAAAGCUCUUUUACCCGGGAUGAUAAUGACAGUACCGGGAGAAUAAGCUCCGGCUAACUCCGUG
rnacentral:rRNA from 1 species